rnacentral:rRNA from 1 species
CGUCAAUGGGGCAACCCUGAACGAGCAAUGCCGCGUGAACGAAGAAGGUCUUCGGAUUGUAAAUUUCUUUUAUUUGGGAAGAAAGGUUGCWUUAGGAAAUGAGUGCAAUUUGACGGUACCAAUUGAAUAAGCCCCGGCUAACUACGUGCCAGCAGCCGCGGUAAUACGUAGGGGGCAAGCGUUAUCCGGAAUUAUUGGGCGUAAAGCGUGCGUGGGCGGUUUUAUAAGUCACUUGUAAAAGAUCUCAGCACACAACUGAGUAAGGCGAGUGAAACUGUAAGACUUGAAUAUGGUGAGAGGUAAGUGGAAUUCCAUGUGUAGCGGUGGAAUGCGUAGAUAUAUGGAGGAACACGCAAUGGCGAAGGCAACUUUCUGGGUCCAGAAUUGACGCUGAGGCGCGAAAGCGUGGGGAGCAAACGGGAUUAUAUACCCUUGUAGUCCACCCUGUAAACGAUGAGAACUAAGUGCKGGAKUAAAAUUCAGUGCUGAAGUUUACGCAUUAAGU